UACGUAGGGGGCGAGCGUUGUCCGGAAUUAUUGGGCGUAAAGAGCGUGUAGGCGGUUCGGUAAGUCCGCCGUGAAAAUCCGAGGCUCAACCUCGGGCUUGCGGUGGAUACUGUCGGGCUAGAGGAUGGUAGAGGGGAGUGGAAUUCCCGGUGUAGCGGUGAAAUGCGUAGAUAUCGAGAGGAACACCUGCGGCGAAGGCGGGUUGCUGGGCUGACACUGACGCUGAGGCGCGAAAGCCA
rnacentral:rRNA from 1 species